GGAGCUUGCUCCUCUGGAUUAGUGGCGAACGGGUGAGUAAUACGUGAGCAAUGUGCCCUUGACUCUGGGAUAAGCGCUGGAAACGGCGUCUAAUACCGGAUACGACCCUCGGAGGCAUCUCCUGAUGGUGGAAAGAACUUCGGUCAAGGAUCAGCUCACGGCCUAUCAGCUAGUUGGUGAGGUAACGGCUCACCAAGGCGACGACGGGUAGCCGGCCUGAGAGGGUGACCGGCCACACUGGGACUGAGACACGGCCCAGACUCCUACGGGAGGCAGCAGUGGGGAAUAUUGCACAAUGGGCGCAAGCCUGAUGCAGCAACGCCGCGUGAGGGACGAAGGCCUUCGGGUUGUAAACCUCUUUUAGCAGGGAAGAAGCGAAAGUGACGGUACCUGCAGAAAAAGCACCGGCUAACUACGUGCCAGCAGCCGCGGUAAUACGUAGGGUGCAAGCGUUGUCCGGAAUUAUUGGGCGUAAAGAGCUCGUAGGCGGUUUGUCGCGUCUGCUGUGAAAACCCGAGGCUCAACCUCGGGCUUGCAGUGGGUACGGGCAGACUAGAGUGCGGUAGGGGAGAUUGGAAUUCCUGGUGUAGCGGUGGAAUGCGCAGAUAUCAGGAGGAACACCGAUGGCGAAGGCAGAUCUCUGGGCCGUAACUGACGCUGAGGAGCGAAAGCAUGGGGAGCAAACAGGCUUAGAUACCCUGGUAGUCCAUGCCGUAAACGUUGGGAACUAGAUGUGGGGA
rnacentral:rRNA from 1 species